rnacentral:rRNA from 2 species
GGCGAAGCCUGAUCCAGCAAUGCCGCGUGUGUGAAGAAGGCCUUCGGGUUGUAAAGCACUUUUGUCCGGAAAGAAAUCCUUGGCUCUAAUACAGUCGGGGGAUGACGGUACCGGAAGAAUAAGCACCGGCUAACUACGUGCCAGCAGCCGCGGUAAUACGUAGGGUGCGAGCGUUAAUCGGAAUUACUGGGCGUAAAGCGUGCGCAGGCGGUUUGCUAAGACCGAUGUGAAAUCCCCGGGCUCAACCUGGGAACUGCAUUGGUGACUGGCAGGCUAGAGUAUGGCAGAGGGGGGUAGAAUUCCACGUGUAGCAGUGAAAUGCGUAGAGAUGUGGAGGAAUACCGAUGGCGAAGGCAGCCCCCUGGGCCAAUACUGACGCUCAUGCACGAAAGCGUGGGGAGCAAACAGGAUUAGAUACCCUGGUAGUCCACGCCCUAAACGAUGUCAACUAGUUGUUGGGGAUUCAUUUCCUUAGUAACGUAGCUAACGCGUGAAGUUGACCGCCUGGGGAGUACGGUCGCAAGAUUAAAACUCAAAGGAAUUGACGGGGACCCGCACAAGCGGUGGAUGAUGUGGAUUAAUUCGAUGCAACGCGAAAAACCUUACCUACCCUUGACAUGGUCGGAAUCCUGCUGAG